UCACUGAAGAACAUGACGGGCCCAGUGAGUCCUGGGGAUUUUUUACUGACAGGGGAAAGGUGUAUGCUCGGUCCACUCUGUCCAUCUCUAACGUCCUUCAUCAGUUCCUGAAUGUCCCCAUUAAAUGCAUUACAAUGAACCCAGGUGGAGAAGAUGUCGGCGUGGUGUGGCUUCAAGAAGCGGACCACAGCGCCCUCUACAUGAGUGUGGCUGCCUCCCUGGCUACUCUGGUCCUGGCUGCCUCCUUUUUCUUCUUUAAAGUCGACCUGGUUUUGGCUUACAGGAAACUUUUGAGACAUUUUCUUAAAC